rnacentral:rRNA from 1 species
GACGAACGCUGGCGGCGUGCUUAACACAUGCAAGUCGAACGGAAAGGCCCUGCUUUUGUGGGGUGCUCGAGUGGCGAACGGGUGAGUAACACGUGAGUAACCUUCCCUUGACUUUUGGAUAACUUCAGGAAACUGGGGCUAAUACCGGAUAUGAGCUCCUGCUGCAUGGUGGGGGUUGGAAAGUUUCGGCGGUUGGGGAUGGACUCGCGGCUUAUCAGCUUGUUGGUGGGGUAGUGGCUUACCAAGGCUUUGACGGGUAGCCGGCCUGAGAGGGUGACCGGCAAAAUGGGGACUGAGAUACGGCCAAGACUCCUACGGGAGGAAGAAGUGGGGAAUAUUGCACAAUGGGCGGAAGCCUGAUGCAGCAACGCCGCGUGCGGGAUGACGGCCUUCGGGUUGUAAACCGCUUUAGCCUGUGACGAAGCGUGAGUGACGGUAAUGGGUAAAGAAGCACCGGCUAACUACGUG